GGCCUGGCUGGUCCGGCCGCAGCGCGCCGGCGGCGGCCUGGCCGGGGUGCUGGACCUGCACUGGUUCGAGCCCGGUCGGGCCA
rnacentral:tRNA from 1 species